AAGUGUGUUUGGAGGUAUAGAUAAGGUAAAAACUUUAAAGCUUUAAAUUCUUUGACGUGAAUUCAAAACUCUUAUGAUGAAAGAUUCUAAAUCUAUUGUUGGUUUUUGUUUUUAAAGUCUCUUCUAUUGUGAACCAAAUGAGGUCUUAUGGUGAGAACCUAAAGAUCAAACAGUUAUAAAAAAAGUUUUAUGGAGUUUAUCUCCAAAAUUUGAUAUAAUUUCUACUACUAUAUAAGAAGCUAAAGAUAUAAGUAUAUUGUUUUUUGAUGAAUUAAGGGGCUCGCUUUUAGUUCAUGAACAAAAAGUGAACAUAUCUUCAGAUGAAACGUCAGAACAUGUUCUUCAAAUGAAGAUAGAUUAGAAGGAUCAAAAGAAAAAUUCAGAAAUCAAAUCUCAAGGGAGAGAUCAAAAUGGUAGAGGCUAUGGACGAUCUGACGCUCGAGGAAGGGGACGAGGUCAAUCAAAUGAGAGUUAGAGGAACUCCAAUGAAGGUAACAAAGAAACUUUUAAUGUUUUUGUAGUGCUUUGGAUUCAUACAAGAACACUUAUUUAUAUUAGCCAAAAGAUAGAGUAUAAGUUUUUUUAAAUAAUGAAGAAAUCCAUCGUAGCCUAAUAGGUCUGUUUACUCUCAUCAAUUUAUCUUAAUCUAAAUUCUUAUAUUUUGUUUCAUCUAAUCUCAACUAUUUUGAAUCAAGAGGGUGUGAUAAGAUUAAUUCAAUGACGAAAAAAAGCAAGAUGGACGAAUUAAAAUCUACUACGACAACAAGUCAACUAUUGCAAUGACGAAAAAUCCUAUCUUCGACGGGCAUACCAAACACAUCGAAGUUUGACAUCAUUUCAUUUGUAAACUAGUUGAUAAAGAAGAAAUUCAAAUGAACUACUAUAAUAUUGAAGAUCAAUUUGUCGAUAUUUUUACUAAAGCUUUGGCUAAAGAAAAAAAUUAUUUUUUUCCGAAUAGUUAGGAUUAGAUGAAACAAAAGUUAAGGAUUUAAAUUAAGAUAAAUAAAUGAGGGUAAGGAGAUCUGUUGGGCUAUGGUUGAUUUCUUCAUUAUUUUAAAAAAAUUAUACUUUAUCUUUUGGCCAAUAUAAAUAGGUGCUCUUAGAUGAAUCCAAAGCACUACGGAUUGAAAGUACUCAUCGUUGAUUUCUUUAAUAUUUAAAAAAAUUUGUACUUUAUCUUUUGGCCUACAGAUUGAAAGUACUCAUCGUUCCUUUUAUCUUCUUGAUGGGUUUGUUAUCGAUGAAGGGUUAGAAUUUGUUGAAUUCAAACGGUCCAUUUGAUCGUUUGAACCAGAUUUAAGGGUUUUUAAACCCUUUCUACCGCCUCAAUUCAUCCGUUGGAAAGAAUUGAGUUGGGCGACGAGACAACUUCUCAAUCGCAUUCAGCAACCUGCUUAGUCCAUAGAUGUGGCAGCGACGUGGACAACAGUGCCUCAACCGAUGACGGUGGCAACGUUAGAGAGUCAAUCCCCUACUCGAGGAAUCCUAUCAUUUUUUUUGGUGGUAGAACCAGAUAAUUCAAUAUCAACAGAAGGAUGGUCUGAAAUCUGUCACAAAGCUACUCCUCAAAGCUCAAAAAAGAUAUGUACCACUAUUUUUUCACAAUUUAGAAUAUUUUUUAUGAAAUUAUACUAAAUUUAUAUUUAUUUCCAACUUAAAAACCCUAAUCUAAUUUUUUUUAUUUUCAGAUAAUUUUAGAGCAAUUUUUGGUCUUUUUUUUGUGCCGUCGGCAUGCCCUGUCAUGGUGACACUUGGCACAUCGGCAUGGGGUGGCACUUACCGUGUUGUCGAUUGGCUGUCACAUCGGUUUGGACCACAGGUAACCCCUGGUGCAAGCCUCCUUAUCAAGCGAUCCAUGAGGCAAGCACUCCAUUGAUGACAGUUGUUUCCACAAUAUAAGCCGCCACCUGAUCUAUGUUACCACCAAUCCUUGAGCUGAAACCUCUUGCUUAAAGUCUUUUACAGAGAACUUGGCAUGUAAAAAAAGUUGUCCACUUGGGGAAUCAUUGCUUUGCAGCAGCUCAUUGUGUUUGAUCAACCAGGACACAAUAUAUCACCAUAUGAAGCCCAGCUGUCCAAAUGUCUUCCCCAACCUGAGCUGCAGCAAGUCUUAAAAGGAUCUGAAAAAUUGAACUGUCAUAUUUUAGGAGUCGAAGACAGAAGAAGCUACUGCAACUCAACUGACACGAAAAAAACUACAUUAGCCGUGCAAACCCAGGGAGCCUGGCUUACAGUUAGAUCUUGUGAGCACGACAUUUUGGUAAAGCAGUAAUAUGGAUCAUCUGUAGAACAACACUCCAGUUGGAUUUUUGUUAGAACUCAUUUCUGAUGCCAGGACAGCAUACGUAAAAGGUACUGUAUUCUUCAGUGGAGCGAGGUUUUAGUUCACUAAAGGAAGAAAAAGAUGCAACACAGGCAGCUUUCAGAUUUUGCUUCCACAAAGAGUCGUUUUCAGCAUCAGUCGUUUACAUUAUUGGUGUCGGGGUCUGUUUCAUUUUGAGAAUUCAGCUGAAAUCUCAUGUGCUUGAGGCUGUUCCCUCAAAUCUCUAGAACUUCAUGAGAAGCCUUGUGAUUACCAUGUCCAGAUUGGCAAAUAUUGGUACUAAGCUGGCGAGAGAGAUUUCUAGCCUGGUACCACGAGCAAGAUGAAGAAGAUGAUGUUCUAGGCAAAGCUGAAAUGUUUGCUAGCCAUAAACUUGUUCGAGUUUGGGUGCUUACGAUGUAAGGCAGGCACCAAAUCACGAAUUCUCAGUAGCACAACGCGGGUUCAUUCCGAUCGUAAAACAAUCCCAGAAGCCUAUAUUUCGGCUGAUCAUGAAACAAGCAAAUGCUUCAGAAGGUAAACUGGAAAAUGAAUACAUGCCAAACACGAAACACUUCGGACAAUUGCCGGAUUUCUUCAUGAAACCUGUGCUUUGCCCAUCCUGAUAUUGACGUACCAUGGCAACUACGUCACUGAAACUUUCUUUUCUGAAAGAGAACUGCAAAAUGUUUAUUUCACAUACCGACUAUUCUGUAAUGAGAUAUGACACAGGAAAAGAUCCCACCUCUACAUUAAGCUCA